AAAUCCCCCUUACGUUCUCACUCCACCCUCUGCCGGCGACAGUGGUUCCAGGGGCUGUGGUAUUGGUGGUCGUCAAAGGCCAACGGCUAGGGUUUGCAAUGAAACACUGUAUUAUCGAAUUACACUCUCUAUUUGCUGAAGAUUUUUGAUCGAUUCUGUCUAUUGUAGCAAGGAUGUUAAUUACUUAUUUUCAUCUUUUUAGAUUUCAACAAGUUCUAUGUCUUGAAACUGAAAUCAGAAUGUUGAAAUUGCUAGAUCUUGAGUCACUGGCGGUGUAAUGGUGAAAAGUGAGCAUCAAUUUAUUUGAUCUGUUCUACAGCCAUGUGAGGGAGCUCGGGAACACUGAAUAGGUUAUAUGAUGGACUUACUUCUUUCUUGUACCUUUAGGGGAUCUUGGUCAAACGUUUGACUCAAACCGAACUUUGACUCAUUACGAGUCAAACCCGAUAAAAGGGCAGACCGUGCUUUUUGUUGGUGACCUUUCAUAUACCGAUAAAUACCCGUUGCAUGAUAACAACAGGUGGGAUACAUGGGGAAGAUUUGUUGACAGAAAUGUGGCUUACCAACCAUAGAUUUGGAGUGCUGGGAAUCAUGAAAUUGAUUUUCUUCCUGAAUAUGGUGAAGGUGAACCAUUUAAGCCUUAUACACACCGGUAUUUCGUGCCAUAUGAAGCAUCCCGGAGUACAUCUCCUAUUUGGUACUCGAUUAAACAAGCUUCUGCUUACAUAAUCGUGUUGUCAUCUUUUUCGGAUUAUGGAAAGUCCACGCCGCAAUAUAAAUAGCUCAUGAAGGAGCUACCGAAAGUGAAUCGAAGCGAAACUCCAUGGUUAAUUGUGGUUAUGCAUUGUCCAUUAUAUAACACCUAUGUGCAUCAUUAUCUGGAAUGUGAAACUAUGAGAGUGAUGUAUGAGCAAUAUUUUGUUCAGUACAAAGUUGAUGUAUUUGCUGGACACGUUCAUGCCUACGAGCGCACAGUGAGUAAUUUUUCAAUAAUCCGGAUUAUUUGACUUUAUGACUGUUUUUACUGUUGCAGGAUCGGGUAUCAAAUAUUGCUUACAAUAUCGAAAACAGGUUGUGCACUCCUAAAAUGGAUGCAUCUGCCCCUGUUCACAUAACCAUUGGUGAUGGAGGAAACCAAGAAGGAUUACUCUUUGAGAUGGUAGAUCCGCAACCGAAAUAUUUAGCGUUUAGGGAACCGAGCUACGGGCAUGCUACAUUUGAGAUUAAGAACAGAACUACAGCUUAUUAUGCUUGGCAUCGUAACCAAGACGGAUAUUCUGUUCAACCGGAUUCCAUAUGGUUUCAUAAUUGAAAUCUGGAAAUCAUCAUCAAUUGCAUCAAUCUGAUUAUUACAAGUGUAAACCCAGUGAUUGAAUAGGUUCACCAGCUCCAUCACCAGAUUCAUCACCUAAUGUAUGAUGUAAACUAUGGGUUUGAAAUAUUAAUAGUGUUUUGUGACAAAUAAGGUAGCUUUUAGAGUUGCGUAUAUUUACAAUGUGUAUCUUUUUUCCGUCACGUAUCGUUGGCUCCGCCGCAACGCGCGGGUUUCCCACUAGUCUUAAAAGAGAAUCAAACCUUUGUAUUUUUUUUAAUAUUAGCAUUCAAUUGGCAAAAUUAGUCAAUAAAUCUCG
rnacentral:lncRNA from 1 species